rnacentral:rRNA from 1 species
UACGUAGGGUGCAAGCGUUGUCCGGAAUUAUUGGGCGUAAAGAGCUCGUAGGCGGUCUGUCGCGUCUGGUGUGAAAACUCAGGGCUUAACCCUGAGCUUGCAUCGGGUACGGGCAGACUAGAGUGUGCUAGGGGAGACUGGAAAUCCUGGUGUAGCGGUGAAAUGCGCAGAUAUCAGGAGGAACACCGGUGGCGAAGGCGGGUCUCUGGGGCAUAACUGACGCUGAGGAGCGAAAGCAUGGGGAGCGAACAGG